CUUGGAUCCAAUCCAUUCGAUUCUAGUGAUCAGGCGAAUAACUCAAAGAAAGAGAAAAAGAAAAAUCCUUGGCGCUAAACCACUCAACUAAUGAGUCCUUUACUCACGGUAAUCACAGCUGUUACGGAUGUUUUCGAGAAUUUAUCCGUUGACGCUAACUCGCAUUGUUUUACACUAAAAAGUUCACUUCCUAACAAUCUGGCAACAAUAAUUACGAUCGAUAGAAUGUUUUGGUCAUAUUUUUUGCUGUCAUGUUCGUAUAUGUAGGGGUAUGUGGGCGGGGGAUUACAGAUACAGCCGUUUCAUGUGCAGUCAAUUUCAUUCCAGUGUUUGGCUCGUUCGGUCGCGGCUCACGUCAUGCUUUUAUUUAUUUAUUUUUAUACCCUGUCAUUUCGGAGGUUUAUCUGUGAUAGGUCGCCGUGUGCCCUGAACCUCCUGAAGCUCUAAGCCUUUAGCAAAAUAGAAAAUUUCCUCGCGUUGUAAUUUAUUGCAGGAUUGAUCGACAGCGCCGUCCUGCCUACUCGUUCACGGCAGGGUGGAAAACUCGAGAGAGAGAAAAAUAAUUCCUGCCUUUCGGAUCCUGAAAUGAGUGUGGUAAAGAAUGCAGAGUCUGCACGACUCUUUGUACUCGCCAGCAGACAGGUUCUGAUGGUUCCUGUUUGUGUUGUACUAGCGUGCGCUCUCAAUAGAAGAGCUGCGAAGGGAGACGUGUCUCAGGGCCAAGAUGCUUUUAGUAAUAAUGAUGUGUGUAUUCUCGUGUAUAUUUAUGCGUUCAUGGAAAAAAAAAAAAAGAGUUCUGAAAAUCUGUCCGUCAUUAUUUAUUACGAGUCUUUUACAGCGUCCGGCAUAAUAGCAACCAGUGAAGGACAGCCAUGAAAAAGGAUCGCAUUUACGAUAAGAUAUAUAUAUAUAUAUAUAUAUAUAUACUCCCCGGCCACAUUAUUAGGAACAUUCAUGCAAUUUUCUGAUGUUUCCAGAGAAGAAAUCCACCUCGAUUUUCGAUGUGUUGUGCAUUCUGAGAUGCUUUUCAGCUCACCACGGUUGUAAGGAGUGAUUAAUUUAUGUUGGUUUUUUUUUUUUUUGAGUUACCGUAGCCUUCCUGUCAGCUCGAACCAGUCUGAUAGUUUUCUUCUGUCAACAAGGUGUUUUUACAUCCACAGAACGGCCUGGGUGUUUGUUUCGUUUGUUUCUCGAUGAUUCCAUCGCCGCGUGAUUGGAUACCUGCAUGAAUGAGCAGGUGUUCCUAUUAAAGUGGCCGGUGAGUGUAUAGUCGAGAUCCUUUUUUAAGUAAUAAAGAAUGGAUGCAAGUAAUAAUUAAGUAAGAUAAAUGUCUUGUCUGGAUUCAGUGUUUGCAUAAUGAACCACACAACUCCCUCCUUGCUGCUUUUGGCUGCUUCCUGAACCUCUGUAACACGCUCUGUAAAUAACGUUCCCCAAAUUGUUUGAAUUUGCAAAAUAAAAAGGUUUGACCCGAGUGUGUGUGUGCUGUGUUUGAGUAAAACAUCUCGCGGAUUAAAAUGGACAGCAUCAUAUCGCAAACAUGCAGUGGCUGAUGUCAUGUGAUGUCAUGAUUUGUCAUGGCAAAUGUAUUUUAUGCAUGAGCAGAACUAUUAUUGUUUCCCCUUUUUGGUAAUUGCCAUGGCAGUCCACGUAUUAUCUGUUGGCAUAACAGACUCUUUUUAUGCAAAUUUUUGGGAGUUGCUUUCUGCAGUGCUGUGAAAAAUGAUUUGCUCCAUAAUGAUUUGUUCUGUCAGUGUAUUAUUAUAUUAUUAAGAUUAUACCAAGCUAAAACUAAGACCUGAGUAAACACGAAAUACAGUAUUUAAAUGAUAACUUUUUUUUUGCUUCAAUAAAUAACUAACUAAUACCAA
ensembl:lncRNA